GACGAACGCUGGCGGCGUGCUUAACACAUGCAAGUCGAACGGAAAGGCCCUGCUUUUGUGGGGUGCUCGAGUGGCGAACGGGCGAGUAACACGUGAGUAACCUGCCCUUGACUUUGGGAUAACUUCAGGAAACUGGGGCUAAUACCGGAUAGGAGCUCCUGCUGCAUGGUGGGGGUUGGAAAGUUUCGGCGGUUGGGGAUGGACUCGCGGCUUAUCAGCUUGUUGGUGGGGUAGUGGCUUACCAAGGCUUUGACGGGUAGCCGGCCUGGGAGGGUGGCCGGCCACAUUGGGACUGAGGGACGGCCCAGAAUCCUACGGGAGGCAGCAGUGGGGAGUAUUGCACAAUGGGCGGAAGCCUGAUGCAGCAACGCCGCGUGCGGGAUGACGGCCUUCGGGUUGUAAACCGCUUUCGCCUGUGACGAAGCGUGAGUGACGGUAAUGGGUAAAGAAGCACCGGCUAACUACGUG
rnacentral:rRNA from 1 species